AUUGAACGCUGGCGGCAGGCCUAACACAUGCAAGUCGAGCGAGCGGCGGACGGGUGAGUAACGUAUGGGGACUGACCGAUCGAGGGGGAUAACUACUGGAAACGGUGGCUAAUACCGCAAUCUAUCGGAUAACCCAUAUGGGAUUAGCUAGUAGGAGGGGUAAAGGCACACCUAGGCGCAGCUGUCUAGCUGGUCAGAGAGGAUGAUCAGCCACACUGGGACUGAGACACGGCCCAGACUCCGACGGAGGCAGCAGUGGGGAAUAUUGCGCAAUGGGCGCAAGCCUGAUGCAGCCACGCCGCGUGAGUGAAGAAGGCUUUAGGGUUGUAAAGCACUGUCGUCGGGGAGGCGGUACCCAAAGAGAAAGCACCGGCUAACUCCGUGCCAGCAGCCGCGGUAAUUC
rnacentral:rRNA from 1 species